UUGUAAACAGUGACUCGGGAGAUGAACAUCAAUAUGAUAUAUUUUCAGAACUAAAUGAAGCAUGAAGGAAGCACCCUGACACAUUUACGUGUGCAUACCUUAAUAUCAACAGCCUAAGAUACCAGAAUACAGCCGACCUACCACAUGUAAGAACAACUGCAUACGGCCUACAAUCUUUAAGGUAU